GGCCUAAUACAUGCAAGUCGAGGGGUAACAGGAAGUGCUUGCACUUCGCUGACGACCGGCGCACGGGUGAGUAUCGCGUAUACAAUCUGCCUCAUACUAGAGGAUAGCCCGAAGAAAUUUGGAUUAAUACUCUAUAGUAUCUAAAAAAGGCAUCUUUUUUAGAUUAAAGGUUACGGUAUGAGAUGAGUAUGCGUUCUAUUAGUUUGUAGGUGUGGUAACGGCACACCUAGACUUCGAUAGAUAGGGGCCCUGAGAGGGGGACCCCCCACACUGGUACUGAGACACGGACCAGACUCCUACGGGAGGCAGCAGUAAGGAAUAUUGGUCAAUGGACGAAAGUCUGAACCAGCCAUGCCGCGUGCAGGAUGACGGCCCUAUGGGUUGUAAACUGCUUUUAUACAGGAAGAAAAACUUUCUCGUGAGAGAGCUUGACGGUACUGUAAGAAUAAGGAUCGGCUAA
rnacentral:rRNA from 1 species